rnacentral:rRNA from 1 species
AUUGAACGCUGGCGGCAUGCUUUACACAUGCAAGUCGAACGGCAGCGCGGGCUUCGGCCUGGCGGCGAGUGGCGAACGGGUGAGUAAUGCAUCGGAACGUGCCCAGUAGUGGGGGAUAGCCCGGCGAAAGCCGGAUUAAUACCGCAUACGACCUGAGGGUGAAAGCGGGGGACCGAAAGGCCUCGCGCUAUUGGAGCGGCCGAGGUCGGAUUAGCUAGUUGGUGGGGUAAAGGCUUACCAAGGCGACGAUCCGUAGCUGGUCUGAGAGGACGACCAGCCACACUGGGACUGAGACACGGCCCAGACUCCGACGGGAGGCAGCAGUGGGGAAUUUUGGACAAUGGGGGCAACCCUGAUCCAGCCAUGCCGCGUGCGGGAAGAAGGCCUUCGGGUUGUAAACCGCUUUUGUUCGGGAAGAAAUCCUCUGGGCUAAUACCCCGGGGGGAUGACGGUACCGGAAGAAUAAGCACCGGCUAACUACGU